rnacentral:rRNA from 2 species
GAGCGGCGAACGGGUGAGUAACACGUGAGUAACCUGCCCCUGACUCUGGGAUAAGCCCGGGAAACUGGGUCUAAUACCGGAUACGACACCUCCUCGCAUGGGGUGGGUGUGGAAAGUUUUUCGGUCAGGGAUGGACUCGCGGCCUAUCAGCUUGUUGGUGGGGUAACGGCCUACCAAGGCGACGACGGGUAGCCGGCCUGAGAGGGCGACCGGCCACACUGGGACUGAGACACGGCCCAGACUCCUACGGGAGGCAGCAGUGGGGAAUAUUGCGCAAUGGGCGAAAGCCUGACGCAGCGACGCCGCGUGGGGGAUGACGGCCUUCGGGUUGUAAACCUCUUUCAGCAGGGACGAAGUUGACGUGUACCUGCAGAAGAAGCGCCGGCUAACUACGUGCCAGCAGCCGCGGUAAUACGUAGGGCGCAAGCGUUGUCCGGAAUUAUUGGGCGUAAAGAGCUCGUAGGUGGCUUGUCACGUCGGGUGUGAAAGCUUGGGGCUUAACUCCAGGUCUGCAUUCGAUACGGGCUGGCUAGAGGUAGGUAGGGGAGAACGGAAUUCCU